UACGGGGGGAGCAAGCGUUGUCCGGAUUUACUGGGCGUAAAGAGCGUGUAGGCGGCAUGGCAAGUCUGCUGUGAAAGCUCUCGGCUUAACCGGGAGAGGUCGGUGGAAACUGCCAGGCUUGAGGACGGUAGAGGGGGGUGGAAUUCCCGGUGUAGUGGUGAAAUGCGUAGAUAUCGGGAGGAACACCAGUGGCGAAGGCGGCCCCCUGGGCCGCUCCUGACGCUGAGACGCGAAGGCUAGGGUAGCGAACGGG
rnacentral:rRNA from 1 species